rfam:Selaginella moellendorffii unplaced genomic scaffold SELMOscaffold_22, whole genome shotgun sequence.
UGCAAUAGUAAUUCAAUUUAGUAUAAAAGAAAUUAUUGAUUUGCAUAAUUGGUAAUUAUGCUUGAUUGAAAACCCAAUGGCACAAAAAUACCAUGCACAGGAUUAUGACCCAAUGACUCUUAACCUGAGGUA